CUUUCGAUCCAUUCUGUUCUUCGCCUCCCUCGUGAAGGUUGCUGAUUCUGGCUCUCGUGUCUCGGAGGUUCUCUUCGUCGACCAUCUUCUACCCUUCAUUAGCCAUGGCUGGAGCCAUGCAUUUUCUUCGUUGUUCUUCUGGUGUAACGUAGCUUCAAGAACUUUCCAACAACGGUUUAUGACGAAAAAAUGAAAAUGGACUGCACGUGCAACCGCCAUUUUUUUUUCAUAUCAACUUCCUAGAAUAUACUCUUAGUCGAUUGGAGAAUUCACGGCUUGUCGCGUGGCUUUGGCCUCAGAGUGGCAUAAGCCUUCAUCUGUGCUAUGGAAUCGCGUCCCUCGACCGCAACUGAUUGACUGCCGUCCUAAGCAGCACAUGCACAUCGCCAGCUACUUCUUGCGACCAUCUGGGAAUGUCGCUACAUUGUGUGGGCACUCGCGAUUGUCAACUUAUGAGCAGCCUGAUCAUCAUCUCUUCUUGCAAUCGCAAUCUGGAAGAGUUCACCCAAUCAAAAGGUUUGCCCCUUGAUCUCCGUGUGGCCUCAAGAAUCUCCGUUUGUUGCGCCCAUAUCUAUUUUCCAUCCUUAUUCUUUUUGAUACCGUAUAUUUCUCAAUACAGUAGUUCAUUCCUUCAAUAAGAGCUAUUCGAUGUGA